rnacentral:misc_RNA from 1 species
AAAAAAAAUUCCAAUUUUAAAUUACUUUACAAUAUUUUGGGAAUUAAAGCAAACCGUGAAUAUAUAUACACACACGCACUCUCUUUCUCUCCAUAAAUAAUUCCAGAGAGACGAGAGUGAAACUGAAGCACUGAAAAAUGUACAAGAUUGAAUGAAAUACAAAAAUGGAAUUUUAUAUUUAAAAUUGCUUUGGAAGGUCUGCAUGUAUAAUCUACACUGCAGUG